rnacentral:rRNA from 1 species
ACGUAGGGUGCGAGCGUUAAUCGGAAUUACUGGGCGUAAAGCGUGCGCAGGCGGUUUUGUAAGCCAGAUGUGAAAUCCUCGGGCUUAACCUGGGAAUGGCAUUUGGGACUGCAAGGCUGGAGUGCGGCAGAGGAGACUGGAAUUCCUGGUGUAGCAGUGAAAUGCGUAGAUAUCAGGAGGAACACCGAUGGCGAAGGCAGGUCUCUGGGCCGAUACUGACGCUGAGGAGCGAAAGCGUGGGGAGCGAACAGGA